rnacentral:rRNA from 1 species
UACGAAGGGGGCUAGCGUUGCUCGGAAUCACUGGGCGUAAAGGGCGCGUAGGCGGCCAUUCAAGUCAGAGGUGAAAGCCCAAGGCUCAACCUUGGAAUUGCCUUUGAUACUGUUUGGCUUGAGACCGGAAGAGGUAAGUGGAACUGCGAGUGUAGAGGUGAAAUUCGUAGAUAUCAGGAGGAAUACCCAUGGCGAAGGCAGCUGGCUGGCUUGCACUUGACACUCAUGGACGAAAGCGUGGGGAGCAAACAGG